AUCUCGACCAUAAGCCUAGUAUAACGCACACGCGUGUAGGACGCGUAUAAGGAGUCAUUACUCUGGGGAUUUCUGGUGUGCGUAGGUGGCGAUUUAAUAAUCUAGUAAUUACCCAUCCCUGACCGUCUAAAACCCUAAUCACGAUGUCUUACGAUCAAUUCGAUUUUUCAACGAGAAUCCAAGUUGAACCGCGGCCAAGGAAGCCGCCAAUAAUCUUAAUAACAGUAAUAAUAAUACAUGAAUUAUGCAUCGUCACAUCGAUGUAACGCGCAUAAAUGGCGAGAGUGUUUCGCGAUCUCGCCGCCUGGAUCGUUGUUCGUUGUCUCGUUGUUGCAUCAGGAGAGUAACGAUUAGUCGCGAUUAACCGACGCUAAAUUAGCGGACUUUACCGUGGCGGUUUCACAAUAGGUUUCUCAGUCUCUUCGGGAACACGAUCGUGAAAAUAGGUUGUGUUACCAUCACUGUGUUUAACGCCUGCUUUACCAAGGUUUUGUUCAUCGAAUCGUCCGCGUUAAGAUAUAACAAUAAGAAUGGAAUGGAUUACGUGUUUACAGUAAAGAUGUCGAUAUAUAUAAAUAGAAUGUUGACUUUUAUGUGUAUUCGUGAUGGAAUAAUUGUGUAAAUGAAAGAGUUUUAGUAUUUUAGUGCACAAAUUUCAAUUGUAUACAAGAUGUUUCAUGUUAGGAAGAAACGUGAUCUAUCAGCCUUUUUGAGGUUAUGCAACGAAAAGAAAGUUAUUAACCUCAAAUUUUUGAGAAUACCUGGCCGUUAAGUCCGUUCAAGGAGCGAGUCCUGCUGUCUCGAGCCGAGCGUGCAUCUUUCGGCCGAUCGUUAACGAGAGCUUCCAACGAUGCAAUUAAGGCGAAUCGGCAGGUGGAUCGAGAAUAGGAUCGUUCGGUUGACCCUUGCACCCUGACUCCUUUUGACCCGCGUUUCGGCGACGAGUGUGCAAGUUACAUGCCUUCAUAAAAUCCCGUUUACGACGGGCUAGAUUUCCGGGAUGUUGAUAAUGAGGCGGCUGCACGCAUCACCAGUCCUGAAUACUGUGUAUCCCUCGCGAGUUCAUCCACACCGCGAAAAUGUUCGUAAAUUACGAUCGUUAAGAAGCGCCGUUUCCCUUUCUCGCGUUCCCUCUUUUUUACUUUUAUUCCUUUUUUUUUUAACGCGCGUAGAGGAUCGAACGAAAAAGUGGAAAAAGCCACGUUUCACGUUCGACGCCGACUUGGUUUCGAUGCUCGUUUCGCGGUUUCCUCGUCUUUUCAUGAUUAACUCGAGUCCAACUUUUUUUACUACAAUAGGAAUAUUAUUUUAUCGGUUUAUAAUUUAGUGUUUGUCGCGAAAUCUUGUCGAAGUAAUGUUAAAAAAAAAAGAAAAAAAACAUUCAUUA